UCAAAAAGUGUUUUGACUCUUGAUUUUCCCUUGAAAAACCAUAGAACUUUGAACUAAAUGAAAACUUUGCACAAAAAAGGCCAUUUUCUGUUGCAAAAAGUUUCAGUGGGAAAUUGCCAGUCACUGUAAUAUGCCACAGAGCCGUGUAGAUCCCUGGUUAGUUUCUGAGGUUACUCGAUAUGUAAUCUUAUAUGAGAAAUUUGGACAAAACUGAAGAUUUGGGUGCCCAGUUGGAUGAUCCCUUUUGGCAGUAUUGAAAUUUCAGUCUUGAAGCUUAAAGGAACGCUGUUCAUUUGAAAUCUAGCCAAUCUACAAGUAAUAGUAUGAGUAAUUUCCAGUAGCUUACAGUGUUGCCAAUUGACAAUUUUUAUCAUUUUUUAUGAUAUUUGGUGUCUUUUCUUAAUGCCACAGCUCCUGGAUUCAUGUGAUUGUGUCAGAAUCUCAGUUUUGGUUUGAAGAAGAAUUAAAAAAAAAUGGAAUCUAGCCUCCAUGGUUGUGGAGAAAAACUUGAAAACAUGGCUCGUAAAGAUUCAAAAACCCAAAGACCCACAAACCAAGGGAACUGACUAGACAAGUGCUGUCAUGUCUUCUCAAGAGAGCUGCUGAAGAUGCAAGAAUUGCUGCAAGGGGAGAUACUUAAAGAAAAAUGGGAAAGACUGCAAAGCUCCUGCCCCC